UAGGGUUGUAAAGCUCUUUUACCCGGGAUGAUAAUGACAGUACCGGGAGAAUAAGCUCCGGCUACGUCCUUGCCAGCAGCCGCGGUAAUACGGAGGGAGCUAGCGUUGUUCGGAAUUACUGGGCGUAAAGCGCACGUAGGCGGCGAUUUAAGUCAGAGGUGAAAGCCCGGGGCUCAACCC
rnacentral:rRNA from 1 species